GAUGAACGCUGGCGGCGUGCCUAGUACAUGCAAGUCGAGCGAACAGACGAGGAGCUUGCUCCUCUGACGUUAGCGGCGGACGGGUGAGUAACACGUGGAUAACCUACCUAUAAGACUGGGAUAACUUCGGGAAACCGGAGCUAAUACCGGAUAAUAUAUUGAACCGCAUGGUUCAAUAGUGAAAGACGGUUUUGCUGUCACUUAUAGAUGGAUCCGCGCCGCAUUAGCUAGUUGGUAAGGUAACGGCUUACCAAGGCGACGAUGCGUAGCCGACCUGAGAGGGUGAUCGGCCACACUGGAACUGAGACACGGUCCAGACUCCUACGGGAGGCAGCAGUAGGGAAUCUUCCGCAAUGGGCGAAAGCCUGACGGAGCAACGCCGCGUGAGUGUUGAAGGUCUUCGGAUCGUAAAACUCUGUUAUUAGGGAAGAACAAAUGUGUAAGUAACUAUGCACGUCUUGACGGUACCUAAUCAGAAAGCCACGGCUAACUACGUG
rnacentral:rRNA from 1 species